GACGAACGCUGGCGGCGCGCCUAACACAUGCAAGUCGAACGAGAGAGAGGAAGCUUGCUUCCUCAAUCGAGUGGCGAACGGGUGAGUAACGCGUGAGGAACCUGCCUCAAAGAGGGGGACAACAGUUGGAAACGACUGCUAAUACCGCAUAAGCCCACAGGUCGGCAUCGACCAGAGGGAAAAGGAGCAAUCUGCUUUGAGAUGGCCUCGCGUCCGAUUAGCUAGUUGGUGAGGUAAUGGCCCACCAAGGCAACGAUCGGUAGCCGGACUGAGAGGUUGAACGGCCACAUUGGGACUGAGACACGGCCCAGACUCCUACGGGAGGCAGCAGUGGGGAAUAUUGCACAAUGGGGGAAACCCUGAUGCAGCGACGCCGCGUGGAGGAAGAAGGUCUUCGGAUUGUAAACUCCUGUUGUUGAGGAAGAUAAUGACGGUACUCAACAAGGAAGUGACGGCUAACUACGUG
rnacentral:rRNA from 1 species